rnacentral:tRNA from 1 species
GCCCUCUUAGCUCAGUCGGAUAGAGCAGCCGCCUCCUAAGCGGCAGGUCACAGGUUCGAAUCCUGUAGAGGGCGCCA